UAUUAACAAAUUUGGUGACUCUCUUCGCCAGGUUUGUUUCUGUCUUAUUUCUAUCAAAUCUUGCAAUAUUUUGGUUGUGUUUUGGUUUCUGUUUCAUGCGAUCUGUAACCUUUGCUUUUCUCUAUGGAUCUCAUCUGGACAUUUAGAGGAAGUCGCAGGCUCAUGGACUUGUGUACAUGUUAUGGCUUCCUGCAGUGCAUCCGUCUCUGUGGAGCUGUGAUUACAGCAGAUGGAUGUGCGGGGCUGUGUGCUUUCCUCAGAUGCACUGAGGACCUCCAUCCAGGCUGACCAUUUGACUCAGCCUGAGUCAGCAGCACGAAGGCAAUGCGCUGUGUUUCCUCAAGCCCUGUGGCAGCACACUGCACCAGGGAAGCACUGUGGUCAGCCAGAAGUUCUUGGACAGACAGUAGGAGUUAAGUGCAUGAAAUCUAACACUCCAUGCCAUAUACCAGAGGUCAGGCCCAGGGUCCCUUCAGAUCCAAAGCACAAAUGCAGCAACUGUUUCCCACCAAGAAAGCCCUCCACAGCCUGUUUCUGGAAAAUGCAGAGCAGAGGCAGAAUGAGAUGGGAGAACAAAGUCAGUCCAAUGGACACAAAGCACUGCGAGUCGACAUCUGAUGUCAGUGCCUAUGGACACCAAGGCUUGGCUCAGCUGCAGGGCCCAGCAGUGGCAGCCCAGGGUGCUGGUCCUUGUCUGACCCCGCUGUGUUUCACAUGCUGUUCUCCUCUGGGCUGAGCCAGCUCAUCCCGCUCAAAACUCUGACUGAAAACAUCAUCUAAAAACAGCUCCUCGUGCUGGUGCCCAGGGGGGAGGAGAAGAACUCAGCAGGCACAGAUGGAGCUGCAGUAAAUAGCGGAGCCGACGGGACGGGGUGGGAU